AUGAACGCUGGCGGCGUGCCUAAUACAUGCAAGUCGAGCGCACAGACGAGGAGCUUGCUCCUCUGACGUUAGCGGCGGACGGGUGAGUAACACGUGGAUAACCUACCUAUAAGACUGGGAUAACUUCGGGAAACCGGAGCUAAUACCGGAUAAUAUAUUGAACCGCAUGGUUCAAUAGUGAAAGACGGUUUUGCUGUCACUUAUAGAUGGAUCCGCGCCGCAUUAGCUAGUUGGUAAGGUAACGGCUUACCAAGGCAACGAUGCGUAGCCGACCUGAGAGGGUGAUCGGCCACACUGGAACUGAGACACGGUCCAGACUCCGACGGGAGGCAGCAGUAGGGAAUCUUCCGCAAUGGGCGAAAGCCUGACGGAGCAACGCCGCGUGAGUGAUGAAGGUCUUCGGAUCGUAAAACUCUGUUAUUAGGGAAGAACAAAUGUGUAAGUAACUAUGCACGUCUUGACGGUACCGAAGCAGAAAGCCACGGCUAACUACGU
rnacentral:rRNA from 1 species